UACGGAGGGUGCGAGCGUUGUCCGGAAUCACUGGGCGUAAAGGGCGCGUAGGCGGCUUGAUAAGCGUGCGGUGAAAGCCCGGGGCUCAACCCCGGGUCGGCCGUGCGAACUGUCGAGCUGGAGCACUGUAGAGGCAGGUGGAAUUCCGGGUGUAGCGGUGGAAUGCGUAGAGAUCCGGAAGAACACCGGUGGCGAAGGCGGCCUGCUGGGCAGUGGCUGACGCUGAGGCGCGAAAGCGUGGGGAGCGAACAGG
rnacentral:rRNA from 1 species